rnacentral:antisense_RNA from 3 species
CUUCACCGACCCCAGCCACAACGGCCGGUCCCCCGCCCGCUCCUGACCAUACGUCGCCAGCAACGCCUGCGCCUC